rnacentral:rRNA from 1 species
UGGGGAAUUUUCUGCAAUGGACGAAAGUCUGACAGAGCAAUAUCGCGUGAGGGAAGAAGGUUUAAGAAUUGUAAACCUCUUUUUUUAAGAAAGAAUUUAUGACGUUACUUAAAGAAUAAGCAUCGGCUAACUCUGUGCCAGCAGCCGCGGUAAUACAGGGGAUGCAAGUGUUAUCCGGAAUUAUUGGGCGUAAAGCGUCUGUAGGUGGGUUUAUAAGUCUUUUGUUAAAUAUACAAGCUUAACUUGUACCAUUCAAAAGAAACUAUUUAUCUAGAGUUUGAUAGAGGUAAAGGGAAUUUCCAGAGGAGUGGUGAAAUGCGUAGAUAUUGGAAAGAACACCGAAAGCGAAGGCACUUUACUAGGUCAAUACUGACACUGAGAGACGAAAGCUAGGGGAGCAAACGGG